UGAAAAAUUUAAUGGUAUCAUCCCUUGGUGUUGCAGACUGAAGAGUGUAAUUGGGAAUUUGAAUGGUCGGAGACAUUUUCCUCGACUGUGCAUAGGCAUCGGGAAACCGCCUGGAAUGAUGGAUUUGAAGGCGUUUCUUCUUCAGAAGUUCAGCCCGGUCGAACGGAAACAGAUGGAUGAAGGGCUCGAACACCUAAGAG